GGAAUACGGACAAUACAUAAAAAUAAUAUUUACAACAUUGUGCAAAAAUACCCCUUAUUUCUCUUCCUUCACCACCCUAUCCAACAAACCUUGCUCUGUCCUUCCUUUGUCUCACUCAAUUUGGGCUAUGCAGGCCAUUUUUCUUCAUGUGACUUGUCGCGACUUCUCGGAAGGUUGGAGAUCUCUAGUAUUUGCCAGGGAAGGAGGUGCACGAUGGUGGAUUCCGGUCGAUGGCGGUUGCGGUGCAGGCUGCUUCGGCUUGUUGUCUUUUUUUGUUUUCCAGUUUGGGCCCAAUUCUUUGUUUGGACUUUGUUUUGCUUGGAGCCCUUAUUUUUACUUUGUGCUGGACAUGUAAUUGAGCCUCCUAUUUUGUAUAGUUAUUGGGUUGUUAAUGAAGUCACAUUCCCUCCCUUCCCAAAAAAGGAAAAUUAAUGAAAAAGGCUUGAAAAUUUUGAGUUUUAACGGUAAGGACAAAAUAAAGGGCAAAGUAAAUAGUAUCAGUUUUGACUUUUUAGUGUAAAAAUGUGGUUUUUUUAUUAAAGUAAACAGCACCGUGGGCUUUUCGUUAAAACUCCAAAAAAAAAAGGGUCUGAAAAUCAUAUCAUUGCUCCAUUUGUUUAUUAUUAAGGGGAAGGAGGUUAAGAUAAUAUACUAUUAUAAUUAAGAAAAGGGGAAUUUUCAAAUCCGAGAUGCAUGUAUUGAACUCCAACAUCUUAUUCAUUAAAAUAUUGGACCAUAUGCUUAAAAUGUAAGUCAUUUCCCAUUUGU